rnacentral:rRNA from 1 species
GGAGGAUCAUUAUCGUAGGGCUUCGGCCCUGUCGAGAUAGAACCCUUGCCUUUUUGAGUACCUUUCGUUUCCUCGGCAGGCUCGCCUGCCAAUGGGGACCACAAAAAACACUUUGCAGUACCUGUAACAGUCUGAACAAACAAACAAAAAUUAAAACUUUCAACAACGGAUCUCUUGGUUCUGGCAUCGAUGAAGAACGCAGCGAAAUGCGAUAAGUAGUGUGAAUUGCAGAAUUCAGUGAAUCAUCGAAUCUUUGAACGCACAUUGCGCCCUUUGGUAUUCCUUAGGGCAUGCCUGUUCGAGCGUCAUUUAAACCUUCAAGCUAAGCUUGGUGUUGGGUGACUGUCCGCUUCACGGCGGACUCGCCUCAAAAUUAUUGGCGGCCGGUACAUUGGCUUCGAGCGCAGCAGAAACGCGAACUCGGGCCCGUCGUAUUGGCUCCCAGAAGCUAUCUUCAUAAUUUUGACCUCGGAUCAGGUAGGGAUACCCGCUGAACUUAAGCAUAUCAAUAAGCGGAGGA